rnacentral:rRNA from 1 species
GAUGAACGCUGGCGGUAUGCUUAACACAUGCAAGUCGUACGAAGAUAAAAUUGUGCUUGCACGAUUUUAUACUUAGUGGCGGACGGGUGAGUAACACGUAAGAAUCUACCUUUUGGCGAGGGACAACCACUGGAAACGGUGGCUAAUACCUCAUAUAACUGAGAAGUGAAAGAUGAAAAUCACCAAGAGAUGAGCUUGCGUCUGAUUAGCUAGUUGGUAAGGUAAAGGCUUACCAAGGCGACGAUCAGUAGCUGGUCUGAGAGGAUGAUCAGCCACACUGGGACUGAGACACGGCCCAGACUCCUACGGGAGGCAGCAGUGAGGAAUUUUCCGCAAUGGGCGAAAGCCUGACGGAGCAAUACCGCGUGAAGGAUUAAGGCCUAUGGGUUGUAAACUUCUUUUCUCAGAGAAGAAUUUUGACGGUAUCUGAGGAAUAAGCAUCGGCUAACUCUGUG